rnacentral:rRNA from 1 species
CCUACGGGAGGCAGCAGUGGGGAAUAUUGGACAAUGGGCGAAAGCCUGAUCCAGCCAUGCCGCGUGUGUGAAGAAGGCCUUCGGGUUGUAAAGCACUUUCAGUGGGGAAGAAAGCCUUGGGGCUAAUACCCUCGAGGAAGGACAUCACCCACAGAAGAAGCACCGGCUAACUCCGUGCCAGCAGCCGCGGUAAUACGGAGGGUGCGAGCGUUAAUCGGAAUUACUGGGCGUAAAGCGCGCGUAGGCGGUCUGAUAAGCCGGUUGUGAAAGCCCCGGGAUCAACCUGGGAACGGCAUCCGGAACUGUCAGGCUAGAGUGCAGGAGAGGAAGGUAGAAUUCCCGGUGUAGCGGUGAAAUGCGUAGAGAUCGGGAGGAAUACCAGUGGCGAAGGCGGCCUUCUGGACUGACACUGACGCUGAGGUGCGAAAGCGUGGGUAGCAAACAGGAUUAGAUACCCCUGUAGUC